rnacentral:rRNA from 1 species
AUGCCCGGCUCCACUGUGAUGCUGAUCUCCGGCUCCAUGGCCGCGCUUCUCGUCAUCUCCCUCUUCACCUUCCUCUGCUCCAACCGGCGCCAGACGCACCGCGCGCCGCCGUCGCACUCAGAGCGGUGCGUCGUUGACGUCGAGCUCGGCCACGGGUGCGGGGCCACAGGGAUGGACGACACCGUCCUGGCCGCAUACACAACCACGGUGUACUCCUCCGUGGCGAAGCGACGAGGGGAAGACCAGAUGGCUGUUGCCGAAGCGUCGGCCGACGGUGACCAGCCGCCCGACGACACGCAGACGACGUGCGCGGUGUGCCUGGCGGAGUACGCGGACGCCGACGAGCUCCGCCGGCUGCCCGGCUGCAAGCACGUGUUCCACCGGCUAUGUGUCGACGAGUGGCUCCGGCGGCGGCCGAGCUGCCCGCUCUGCCGCACGUCGCCGCCUGCGGUCACCACCGCUGACUCCUGA